rnacentral:lncRNA from 1 species
GUGUUUUCUGGAAAUGAAUACUAAUAAUGCAUCUCUACACAUUUAUUUGUGGUUUGGCUUUUCUAAUGAUUGACUCAAUGAAAUAAAUCAUUUCUAAUGAAGCAAUUCAAGAGAUGACAAAUGAACAUAUUAAUUAAAUGGAAAUUCAUCUAACUUUAUUUUAUUUUUUAAAAGAUUUUAUUUAUUCAUGAGAGACAGAGAGAAUGAGAGAGAGAGAGAGAAGGAAGCAGACUCCGAUGUGGGACUCAAUCCCGGGACUGGAUCCCAGGACUCCAGGAUCACACCCUGGGCCCAAGGCAGGUGCUAAACUACUGAGCCACCCAGGGAUCCCCUUCAUCUAACUUUAAAUUAAAUUACUUGUCCAAUUAACAGGUUUUUUUUUUUUUUUGACAAACUUUAACAUCAGCAUUUACUUCUUUGUUUACAUUUACGAUUAUGAAUUGUUCUGUGGCAAACUAAAAGUAAAUACCUUGUUAUAUCCCUGAAAGAAUUAAGCAAAAUACUCACUGUGUAUUUUCUUCCUAUGGCAUGCUAUCUACGGAUGGAUAAUGAGGAAAGCAAACCAGUCUGUCUUGUCUGGGAGAUACCUCACGAUAAUUAUUUAAUUCAAGUGCCAACUAGAACAACCUGGAAUCUUUUUUUGAAACAAGGUUGCUCUUUUGCUGGGUUAGAAUUGCAAGCCCUCGGACGCCAGGCUGAGUGGUAUCACUGUUCACAAUCACAGCCAGAAGGUAUCUCGGGAUCUCAGUCCCAGAGCAGAAGUAACCGGUCUGGGUGCCCGCGUAGGGUGACGAUGGGUGGCUGCGCGGGGAGGCCUGCGACCAGGGCGAAACUUAAAGCAGGACCCGGCGGGCGGGGGAGGGCGUCCCUGCGAGGGCACAGUGCACGGUUUUCCGAGUCCGGGUGGUGGUGGGGGGGGUGUUGGGGGGAGAGGGUGACCUUUGACCUUCCAAAGGACCUUUAUUUGGGAAACUCUAUAAACAGCGUCGGCCUUGAAAGGCGAGGUGGGAGGUUGGGAAAGUGUCUGCUGGACGAGGUCCCGGGAGGCGUUCGGGGCGGCGGGAGUCGGCUGGGCUGGGGGGCGGCCGGCCCCGGGGCUGCUCCCGCGGGAAGGCGGGCGGGGGAAGGGCCGCGGGGCAGCGCGGGGCCGGGCGCGGGCGUCCGUGUGUGCGUGGAGGGCUCCGCGGGCCGGCGCCGGCGCUUCCCGCUCCCGGGAGCCCCGCGCCCGCCCCCGCGCCCCCCCCCCGCCCCGGCCCGGGCCGCGGCCCUCCCGCCCCGGCGGAGGCGCCUGCGCGGUGGAUUGUGGGCCGGGGGCUGCGGCGGCCUCCGGCGGCCUCCGGCGCGCUGUCCGGGACCCGGCCGGGCCGAGGGGGCCGCGGGCCGAGGGCGAGCGGCGGAGCAGGCGGCGGGCGCGCCGGGGGCGGUGGUCGCGGCGCGGCGGCGGCUCCUCCGGAGGCCGGGGAUGUGGGAGAGGCGGUGGCGGCAGCGGCGGAGGCGGCGCUGCGGACCCGGGGGAAACUGCUGGCUGACAGGACACCCGGGAGAGACGUGA